UGCUUCCUUCUAGAUUGGGAUGCUGGAAAUGUUUUCCCAGCACCUUGGCUGGAAGAUAAUUUGGAUCCAGAGGGUCUUCCCACAGGCUGAGCCCUGGUUUUGUGCGAUCCAGUCCUGGGAAAUAGAACUACUUUCUCUUAAGGUCCUCCAAAAGGAAAGACCGAAGCUAAAGAAGAAAAUAAAUCUCUGAAGCCAUCCGAACUUCUGGACCAGAUGCUGAGUGAUCUGGAGAGACGCCGUGGUGGGUGCAUUUCCCUCAGCCUUGUCCUGGGACUCAGCAGCCGGGGCUUUCCCUGCACACCUGGACAGGCCGUGCCCGGCACAGUGGGAAGGGAUCCAUGGCAGCCUCGCUGCCCCGCUGCUGCUCUCACAGCCUGCAGGGCUGUUUCCCAGCCUGGGCUGGCUGCAGCUUCUCCCCAGCCUCUGCAGGAAGGCAUUUGGCACCAGCUGACAGGGAGCCCCAACUGCACCACGGGCCAUGCACACCCUGAGAUCCCCUGCAGUUUCCCUAUCUCUGAGGAGAUCGGGAAGGGAAGCUGUUUGAAAGAGGGAGGGUUUUAGGGAGAGACCCCAAAGCCCACCUGAUUUCCUGAAGCCUAUUCAUGACUUUGACAAGCAUUGCCUCAUGAAGAUGCCCCCUCCCCUAUGGGAAACAACCCCACCUGAUCCAGCUGUGCCUCUUCUAUUCUCCAGAAUUGAAAGGAGAGCCUGUGCAGAAGGAAGCAUUUCCCAGAGGAAGCAGUGGCUCAUUGGCAGCCUCUGCUGCAGGAAGGGAGGCGAUGCCAGGCACAGUCACAGGAGGUAAUUGCUGUGCCUCUGGGCCUGAGCCCUGCUGAGCCUUGAGCUGCCCUCUCUGCUGCUUGGCAGGGCGGGCACAGCCCGGACAAGGCCGGCACAGCCCAGAGGGAUUGUUAUGCUCAGGGCACUCGGGUACUGAGCAGUCCUGCUGGGGUCCCUCUGUGGGAGACACGUCCCAAAACCUGGGAGUGACUGCACGGGGUGCCCAUGGUGGGGAAAGGGCAGAGGGGGAGAGCAAGGCUGCAGGGUGUCCUGACAGGGCCUGGCUAUGUGCCCUGGGGCUGGGGGAUUUGUCCCAGCAGUAGGACAGCUGGAGGGACAGGGGGAGGCAGGGAUACCUGUGGAACUGCCUGCUGCAGUUUUCCCCUGGGCUUUAGGGAGGGUUUCCUCUGUGGGAGGAAGAGAACCCCCAAGGCCCGGGGCUGCUCCAGCUGCCUCUCCAUGGAUGUUGCCAGGGCCUGCAAGAAGAUGGACAGUGACCAGGAGCAAGCCCUGAGCUCCCCAGGCCCCUGUGCUCCUUUGGCCUUCUCCAUUCAGAUAUGAAUCCCACUUCCUUACCCGACCCCCUUGCAAGUGCUCAGUUCCUAAAGGCAGAAGGGGACCACAGCAGACCAAGGAAAUAGUUCUGAUCUGUGCUCCCUUCUAGAUUGGGAUGGUGACUUUGAUUAUUUGGAAGUCCUGGCGCAUAACCAUUUUAAGUUCUUGGAGGAUGCUGAAGGCAAGUUCUCUGUGUGCCUUUCCUGACAGAGUAAUCAGUGUCCAUCUGGCAAGAGCUCACUCAUGCUACACUUCCUUUUCACAUAAUCUCAGGGCUGAAGAAAUCUGGAAGCCUUGCUCUGCUCCCUUCUAGAGCCCUGAGUGAUCCCAUAUGAUCGCUGUCAGUGGGAGGAAGGAACAUUUAGCUGUCCAUCUUCCUCCCAUGUGCAAUGCCAGAGUGUCCUUCUGUGUGCUCUGUGCAGCCCCAGAGAAGAGCAGAGAGGGAAGGGGCCGGGCCCAGGGCUGUGCCCCGGGGCUGAGCCUUUCCCAGCUCCUUUGCCUGCCCCAGGGAGCCUGAGCUGCUCCUGCUGCUGCUGCCAAGGCCUGGCCCUGGCUGGGGCUGGGUUUAGAGCUGCUGGCAGCUCCAGGGAGUCCUUUCUGCCCCGACUGCCCCACAACUUGCUCCUUCCAUCCCAGUGUGGGGCCACCGCAGGCUCGUGGUCCCCCUGCCCCUGCUCCAGGGUGGAAGGCAGAGCUGAGAGAAUGCCUUGGAGGGCACCAAUCACCCAGGGGCGCUCACUGCCACUGCGGCCUGAAGGAGAAUCUUCAGCAGUGUCACAGGAGCUGUUCUGUCCUGCCUUUCUUUGCAGAUAACCCUGCUGGUGAAAGUGAUCUGGCUUCCCAACCCACGUUCAGGACUGAGCCUAUGGGAUACAGGAAUGACCCUCUGGGAGAUGCUGAGGGCACCACCUUGAAGAAAAGCUGAAAGCUGGUGGCUGGUCCCGAGACCUCUACAGCCAAAAGAGCAAUAGCAGCAGCUCUGAGUCUAACCAGAUUUUAUUUUCACAUCCAAGCUUCACUAUGCUUUGAGGCCACAGGCCCAGCCCUCCAUUCAGGGCAUCAGGUGAAAGCUCCAGGAAGGGAUUCAGAAGUGCUCAACUGAACCUUCACUGAGAGAAUCCAAAAUCAGCUCUUCUAAUUCAAUAAAGAGAUGGAGCUGU
rnacentral:lncRNA from 1 species